rnacentral:rRNA from 1 species
UACGAAGGGGGCUAGCGUUGCUCGGAAUCACUGGGCGUAAAGCGCACGUAGGCGGCUUCUUAAGUCAGGGGUGAAAUCCUGGAGCUCAACUCCAGAACUGCCUUUGAUACUGAGGAGCUUGAGUCCGGGAGAGGUGAGUGGAACUGCGAGUGUAGAGGUGAAAUUCGUAGAUAUUCGGAAGAACACCAGUGGCGAAGGCGGCUCACUGGCCCGGUUCUGACGCUGAGGUGCGAAAGCGUGGGGAGCAAACAGG